GUAUGUCUGCAAACAUGACAGGACAAAUAGCAGGAAUAUUUGCCAUACUACUUGGAAUGGAUGAUACUCCUUUCAAGUUAGUGAGGCAAUUCAGAGUAGUGAAGGCUGUCCUGUGUCUUGAAUUGUCUCUAAUCUCAUUGGAUCCCAAAAUGCUGGAACACGUAUCUGCCAAACUGUUACUGCUACCAGUAGCUAUUUCUGCUGAAAAGCUGAGCAAUGGCUACUUGUGCUGAAGCCCUGCUUCCCAGGAAAUGGCCGCUCAUCAGUUCCUGCUGGGGAGAGAAAAGCUGAAAACGGGGAAUGAUAAAGGGGCAUCCGGCCAAGGUCAACCCACUACAUGGGCCAAUUCACACUGUCCAUCUUUUUGAUGCAAAUACUUUGGGUUUGUUUUGUUAACAAGUAUUUUUGUUCAUUUGUACAUGAAGAGAAAUGGGAUAUCUCAAAAGGCACCAGGAAAGAGCUUUCCUUGAGCUCAGCAUCACAGUGGAUUGAUCUUUCCUGUCACAAGCUUGUGAGAGCUGUCUGUCCAACCUCACUGAAACCCACGUGUUUUGCAAUAAAAUUGGCAACCUGGGGAAGCACUGCA